CCCUUAGAUGUUCUGAGCUGCACGCGCGCUACACUGAAGCUAUCAACACGUUUUCCCUCCCUGAGAAGGGCGGGUAACCUUUUGAAUCAGCUUCGUGGUAGGGAUCGGGGCUUGCAAUUGUUCCCCGUGAACCAGGAAUUCCUAGUAGACGCGAGUCAUAAGCUCGCAUCGAUUAAGUCCCUGCCCUUUGUACACACCGCCCGUCGCUACUACCGAUUGAACGUUUUAGUGAGGCAUUUGGACCGACGCAUCUCAGUUUAACCGCUGGUUUGUGUUGGAAAGACUUCCAAACUUGAGCGUUUAGAGGAAGUAAAAGUCGUAACA
rnacentral:rRNA from 1 species